UACGGGGGAUGCAAGCGUUAUCCGGAAUCAUUGGGCGUAAAGCGUCUGUAGGUUGUUUAAUAAGUCUGUUGUUAAAGACUGAGGCUUAACCUCAGGAAAGCAAUGGAAACUGUUAGACUUGAGUAUGGUAGAGGUAGAGGGAAUUCCUAGUGUAGCGGUGAAAUGCGUAGAUAUUAGGAAGAACACCGGUGGCGAAAGCGCUCUACUGGGCCAUUACUGACACUCAGAGACGAAAGCUAGGGUAGCAAAUGGGAUUAGAUACCCCAGUAGUCCUAGCCGUAAACGAUGGAUACUAGACGUUGCUUUUUUAACAGUGUCCUAGCUAACGCGUUAAGUAUCCCGCCUGGGGAGUACACUCGCAAGGGUG
rnacentral:rRNA from 1 species